CCGCAGCUGCCAAGGGGCGGGCAGCCCGGGCAGCCCCGGCCCCGUGCGGCUGUAGUCGGAGGAGGCACCGGCGGUACGGCGCGACGUGGGGAGGCACCGGACACACGCAGUGCCAACACGGAGGAAGCAGAGCCAUGGCAUCGCUGCUGUGCAACGCCCGCAUCCAGCUCACAGAAACACUGGAGAAGAUGCAGCAAGGGACGCUGAUGCGUAAAGUUAAAUCCAAGAGCUGGAAGAAGCAGAGGUUCUUCAAGCUGCAGGAUGAUUGCAUGACCAUCUGGUACCAGUCCAAGAGGACGGGCAAAAUUGAGUCUGCCUUUUCCAUCAGCGAUGUGGAGACUGUGCGGGAAGGGCACCAGUCAGAGGUGUUGCAGAGCCUGGCUGAGGAGUUCCCCCCUGAGCGCUGCUUCACCAUCGUUUUCUACGGGCGCCGGGGCAAUCUGGACCUCAUCGCUGGCACAGAGGAAGAGGCGCAGUGCUGGGUCCAGGGCCUGCGCCAGCUCAUUGAAGUGGCCACCAGCAUGGACCAGAGGGAGAGGAUAGACCAGUGGAUCCGUGACUGGUUCCAGAAAGCUGACAAGAAUAAGGACGGGCGCAUGAACUUCAAGGAGGUGCAGCGUCUCCUCAAGAUGAUGAAUGUGGACAUGAAUGAGGACCAUGCCCUGCGACUCUUCCAGGCUGCCGACAAGUCAGAGUCAGGGACGCUGGAAGGAGAAGAGUUUGUGCUCUUCUACAAAGCCCUCACGGAGCGUGAGGAGGUGCAGAGCCUCUUCCAGGAGUUCUCUGAGGACGGGAAGAAGCUGACGCUGCUGGAGCUGGUGGAUUUCCUGCGGCAGGAGCAGCUGGAGGAGGAGGGCACAGAGGAGCUCGCUAUGGAGCUCAUUGACAAGUACGAGCCCUCAGAGACAGCCAGAGCUCGCCAUGUGCUGAGUGCUGACGGGUUCCUCAUGUACCUCUGCUCCCCGGAGGGCUCCAUCUUCAAUCCUCAGCACCGGGCUCUGUGGCAGGACAUGACCCAGCCUCUGUGCCAUUACUUCAUCUCCUCCUCCCACAACACCUACCUGAUAGAGGACCAGAUCCGGGGGCAGAGCAGCAUCGAAGGUUACAUCAGGGCUCUGAAACGGGGCUGCCGCUGCCUGGAGGUGGAUUGCUGGGACGGGCCGAACGGGGAGCCCAUAGUGUACCACGGCCACACCUUCACCUCCAAGAUCCCCUUCAGGGAGGUGGUGAGCACCCUGGGGAAGUACGCCUUCCAGGCUUCUGACUUCCCAGUGAUCCUGUCCCUGGAGAACCACUGCAGCAUGGAGCAGCAGGAGGUGCUGGCCCAGCAGCUGAAGGACAUUCUGGGGGAGCAGCUCCUCACCGCCACCACUGAUGGACGCGUCCCCACCCAGCUCCCAUCCCCGGAGGAGCUGAAGCACAAGAUCCUGCUGAAGGGGAAGAAGAUCGGGAGGCUGGAGGACACGCUGGAUGGGCCAGGGGAUGAGGUGCCCGAUGUGUCUGAUGAUGACAACGGGGCAGAGGCAGAGGAGGAGAGGCGGAGGAUGAAGAAGGACAGGGAGAGCCUGGCACAGGCCUUGUCUGACUGCGUUGUCUACUGCAAGAACGUGUCCUUCCGGGGUUUCCAGGAGGCUCGCAACCACUCCCGGCCCUCCGAAAUCUCCUCCCUCUCUGAGGCAAAGGCCAGGAAGCUCAUCCGGGAUGCAGGGAAUGAGUUUGUCCGGCACAAUACGUGGCAGCUGACACGCAUCUACCCCAGUGGGAUGCGGACAGACUCCUCCAAUUACAGCCCUCAGGAGAUGUGGAACGCAGGGUGUCAGAUUGUGGCCCUUAACUUCCAGACAGCUGGCAUGGAGAUGGACCUAUGUGAUGGGCUGUUCAACCAGAAUGGCCACUGCGGCUAUGUGCUUAAACCACCCUUCAUGAGAGAUGAAGGGACUCUCUUCAACCCCAGUGACCCCAGCACCUGGCAGGGCCCCGGCCCUGUCACCUUGACAAUCCAGGUGAUCAGCGGGCAGCAGCUGCCCAAAGUGGCCAACAGCAAGGAUGGAGCCAUCAUCGACCCCCUGGUGCGCGUGGAGAUCCAUGGGGUGCCCGCAGACCAGGCACACCAGGAAACCAAGUACAUUGAGAACAACGGUGAGCUUGUGGUAUGGGGACCCACUGUGCUUGUCCCUGCCCUGUCACCCACCAGAGCCUGCUCUGCCUUAACAGGGUUUAACCCCCACUGGGACGAGACCCUUCAGUUCCAGCUCCACGUGCCUCAGUUGGCCCUUGUCCGCUUUGUGGUGGAGGAUUAUGACAAGACCUCCAGGAACGAUUUUGUGGGUCAGUUCACCCUGGCUUUUGCCAACAUCAAACCUGGCUACCGCCACAUCCAUCUCCUCUCCAAGGACGGCACUGGCAUCCCACCCUCUUCGCUCUUUGUCCACAUCCGCAUCACUGAGCCGCCUGGCCCUGAGCAAGACUGAACCCACGGUGCCAACGGGACCUGGAUAGAAGCCAUAGGGCUGGCCUGGAUUUGGCCCCAUACAGUCGUGGCCACAGAGCCGACCACACCACCCUGUGUAGUCAGUCUGUUUGUGUAGUCCCUGUGUUGUUGUUGCUGCUGUGUCUCCUUUGCAGUGGCCUCUGGGGGCUGGAAAAAUGGCAGCAUGUCAGGUUUGGGAUGCUGCCUACUGCCCUCCCUUCCCAGGCCCUUGUAUGGGGGUCUAUGCUGGUGUAUGUCCUUCUAUGUACAGCUGGAUGUGGCCACAAAGAGGAGGAGAGCUGGUGCAUGGGGCUGGUCCCCAAAGCUGGGGAAGCAAGGCUGGAACAAAGUAAACUUCAGGCAGCGCUGGGAGAGGAGCCGGAACUCACUGCACCCUGACCCAACAAAGCCAGUCAGAGCCCCCGGCCUGCACAGUCCCAGUGGUGCUCCUGCCCAGUGCCAUGUUACUUACCCUCGCCGUGUCCUCUCUAUGAACCUGCUGCCAUGCUGCCACGCACACAAGGAAGGCUUCCUGCUGGAGUUGUCCCAGCACCCUGGUCCCCAGUGCAGCUAGGAGAACCCCA